AGUGAACGCUGGCGGUAGGCCUAACACAUGCAAGUCGAACGGCAGCACAGUAAGAGCUUGCUCUUACGGGUGGCGAGUGGCGGACGGGUGAGGAAUACAUCGGAAUCUACUUUUUCGUGGGGGAUAACGUAGGGAAACUUACGCUAAUACCGCAUACGACCUACGGGUGAAAGCAGGGGAUCUUCGGACCUUGCGCGAUUGAAUGAGCCGAUGUCGGAUUAGCUAGUUGGCGGGGUAAAGGCCCACCAAGGCGACGAUCCGUAGCUGGUCUGAGAGGAUGAUCAGCCACACUGGAACUGAGACACGGUCCAGACUCCUACGAGAGGCAGCAGUGGGGAAUAUUGGACAAUGGGCGCGAGCCUGAUCCAGCCAUACCGCGUGGGUGAAGAAGGCCUUCGGGUUGUAAAGCCCUUUUGUUGGGAAAGAAAAGCAGCAGGUUAAUACCCCGCUGUUCUGACGGUACCGAAAGAAUAAGCACCGGCUAACUUCGUG
rnacentral:rRNA from 1 species